GGAUGUGGAGCUGCUGGAGAGAGUCCAGAGGAGGCACCAAGCAAUUAAGAAAAAAAGUGGAGCUGCCUUUGCCUGCGAAAGGCUCUGCCUGACUCCUGUCUCCUCACUGCAGUGCUGCUCUGAUUUCCAUCUCAUGCAUAUCUUAUUUAACAUUCUGGAUACUGUUUUGAGUGCCCCAAUAUUUUAAAAUAAAUUGCUGCAUGUAAAAGA